CGCGCGUGCGCGUGGUUCGUUCGUUCGUGUCUCCAGGCUAGUAAGUACUGAGGGCUUCAUCUAUCUAAAAGGAGUCAUUUUUAUCUGAAUGUGGCAGCACCGGGACACAGCAGCAGAGCGAAUAUGACGAUGACAUCAUGGAACUGGUCUUUGGAAAAGUUUUCCCUGAACCAACUCCGUUUCUAGAUGAGGUAGAGAAGAUCUGCAUCUCACCAACUCUCUGGUCUCAGUAUUCAGACAACGGAGGUCUCCCACUGUUAUCCAGGACCAGUUUGAAGCCCACAUACUGCCCCUCCCUCAUCAUCAGGAAACAUCAAUCCGUAUCCUGAGGACAACAGAAGACGGCAGGAGGACAGGAACUCUGAGACCUAGAUACCACAGCACCGAGACACAAAGCACCUGUGUGCACAACGCCUGUUUAACUACUAAAGCCUGUUUAUUAUAUUGUUCUACUUAUUUUCUGUGAGGUUAAUACUUAGAAAAUUUGUAUUUUAAUGUAAACAAUAAAAAAAUCACUGAUUGUAUGUUUUCUUUUAGAUGUACUGGUCCAAACUCAGCCUUGUAGACAUUUAUUGCAUCCUGUAGGUAAAUACACAGAACAGGCUCAGAUCCAGGAUGACCCAGCAUGCACUUCUUCCAUUCUGGCUGUAAGGGAUUUUAUCAAUAACUCAAUGCCUACUGAUGUUUCCACCUAACGGUAUUUAUUUAGAAUGCAGGUAAGAUUUAACUAUAUUUGUUAGCAAAGCAGACUGAUCUUGGGAAUUUCACUGCAGCACUGAUGUCCACCUCUCUGUACACAUUAGAGAGAAUUACCACUUUACAGCUAAACACAUUUAAUAAAGAUAUAGGCUACGCAUUGCAGACAAUAAAAACAAAGUUGUAAGCAUUAGAAUUAUAAUGAUCACAUUAAAGAACAUUUGGAGGAAUGUUCUUUAUUUUUGACUCGAAUCUCAAAUCUUUAAAUUAAAAUGUAACUGCUUUUUAUCCAUUUUCAGCCAUUAAGACACCCAAUAUAAAAUAAGACUACUUAUAAAAUUAUUUAUAAUUAUAUGUAUGUAUAUAUAGAUAGAGAUCUUAAUAAAAUGUAUUCUUUUAAUGGUGUUUUAAUGAGCUGUAUCAUUUUUUAAAACAUUUUUUAUAGAAAUAAAUAAGCAAGCAGCA